UACGAACUGUGCGAACGUUAUUCGGAAUCACUGGGCUUACAGGGUGCGUAGGCGGCCAUACAGGUCAGGUGUGAAACCUCCAGGCUCAACCUGGAGACGCCACUUGAUACUGCUUUGACUUGAGUUCGGUAGGGGUAAGCGGAAUUCCUGGUGUAGCGGUGAAAUGCGCAGAUAUCAGGAGGAACACCGACGGCGAAGGCAGCUUACUGGGCCGAUACUGACGCUGAGGAGCGAAAGCGUGGGGAGCGAACAGG
rnacentral:rRNA from 1 species